ensembl:lncRNA
CUAGGGAGGGAUGGAGUCCCAUUGAUACAAGGCAGAUAAGGAACUUGGCUGCAAAUCUAAAAGGACCUGAGAGUGGAAAAUGGGACAGUCCAGUGGGUGCAAACCAGGAGCCCCAGUGAGAAUCCUCCUGGAAGACUAAUGCAAUUUGGAGAGAGAGCAAGUGUCAGCGGGCUCAGUUCUCUAGUGCACCAGCAGUGGGACCAAACUCUGACUGGAGAGGUUAACCCCUUACCCCCUGCUCAUUCACACAAGUUAAUCAGAUCACGUGUGUGUGAUCCAGGACAUUGCUACAGACAUGAGACUGGGUUUGUGUACCCUGCAUCAAUUACACACGGAGGCAGGCAAAGAACUGAAGCAGCCCACAGCCACUCGGCAGCAGCACUUGUCACAUCAGCCAAAGCAGCUGUCACAUCAUCUGGGAUCUGCCCCACCCCUGGAGGUGCCCAAGGCCCGGUUGGAUGGGGCACUGGACAGCCUGAUCUGGUGCCUGAUCUGGUGGUUGGCAACCAUACCCAUGGCAGGAGGGUGGAACUAGAUGAUCUUUGAGGUCCCUUCCAACCCAAACCAGUCUAUGAUUCUAUGAACCACCACCCUUGUGCUCCUUUCAAGCAACAUGGGCACCAAGACUCCAUCUUCCCCAUGGGGGUCAGCAAGCUUGGGACCCCAUGAACCUUCAGACUCUCCCCACUGCUGGGAUCUCCUCUUCAGGGAUUGCCACCAGGGGCUUUUAAAGUCAUGUUGCAUUUAACAGAGGAAGAAAAGGGAAAAAUAUAAAUAUACGGUCAUUGUUUCUACCCUUGCACUUAAAAAAUAAACAUUGCCUUUUGAUGCUUCAGAGAAGAUGUGGUGUCAUUUCCUGAAGGAGAAGGAGGGAGCAAGAGGGCUGAGAAGAAAGAAGGAAGAAAAUCUGCCCGGAGCAUCCACUGUUCCUGCGUGGGUGAUGAAGCGUUUGCUCUGGGAGCUUUGGUCACUCUGCCACUCACUUGCAAGGCACCGGGAAGCUGCUCUGCAUUCAGCAAUGCUGCAGUACCUUGUGGCUUGAGGUGCACUUGAUGAACAAGGUUGAACUGGAAUCUUUGAGCAGGAAUCCUCCUAAGCCUGAACACUGCCUAACUGGUGAAGAGUGAAGUGGGAAAUACAUACUUGUGAGCUCUGGGGCUCCUGUGGCUGGCGGACACUGCAACAAGAUCCAGCACAGCCCACAGGACUUUGAACUCAGUUUUCUCUUUGGAACAGCCUCCCCAGAUGAACUCUGAGCCUGGAUUUGAUGUUCCACACACGGUUUUGUCACAGCCCUGUGCUGUGCUGCCUGAGUGGCACCGAUGUGCAGUAAAGACCCAGCUGGCUGAGCACUUUCAGGACAAACAGGGAAGACAAUUUACUAUCUGAUUUUACGAGAGCCAUUUGCACUUUGCAGAAUUUUUUAAGCAGCAAAACCCUUAAGAGGCAUGUUCUGAGCCUGGUACCUCGGAGAAUUGCACACACAUUUCCUGUCAGCAGCCGGAGAAUGGUGUCUCACACCUGCUAUGAAGAGAUUGAAAUAUAUUCUUAAUGGCUUGAUUGCUUUGCAUUUCCCUGGAGAUGGGAUGACACACUGUGGCGUGGUUUCUUUUCCACAAGGAGCAUCCUGAACAGCGUGGCAGAGCUGAUGCUCGCUCGUACUGAUGCUCCCUGGGAUUUAACCUGUGCUUAAGAUCUAGCUAUGCUCAUAGGGAUGCUCUGGGCCUGGGAGGCAGCAGACAUGGAUCAUAGGUGGUUGCAGGCAGGAUCCUGCACUAGGACUGGUUUAAAGGUCAGCUGAUGGCUGGGCUAAAUGCCCAGAGGAAAACAUCCCUAAAAUGGAUGCUUUGCUGCAUGCAUCAUCCUGGGCAGCACUCUGAAAACCAGCAGUGAGAGAAGUUAAAACACAUUCUUUAGUUGCCUACCUCCAUGUGGUUUGUCAGAGCAUCCCAGCACCGCCAUGUGAAUGCUGCAGUGAUGCCAGGAGGACACCUUCCCACCUUGGCCAGUUACAGCCAGCACAUACCAGGGAAUGGCAGAAUAGGCCUUCCCCUGCAUCUGCCCCACUGUGAUGCUCCACCCAAAGGCUGUCCCUGUCAGCGAUGAACCUGUUAUCACACAUCAAAUAUUCAGCAACCAAAUACCAUCCAUUUCCAAGAGGCUUGAGCCCCAACCUCUUUGUUGCAUGGGAAGGAGGUGCACUAAAGGAUGACAGGCACUUCUGUAGGGUACCCUUUUAUUUCAGCAUCUUGAACAGCUGCAUGUCACCAGCCAUUAUCCUGCAGACCUCUGUACCACCCCACCUCACCACACACCCAACCCAUGGAAUGGUUUCUAAUUUUGGCAGAAGACGCUGUGGUUUCUGCUGAACGUGGUGGAAGUUGGGAGCUUUCAUCCCAUGGGAACACAGCGCAGUCCCAUAUCAGACUGAUACGAAAAGGAAACAGCGGUGCUUUUCUGCCUCAGAAUGUUUCUGUUUUUCAGACACC